CAGGUGUAGUUUAAUGGCAGAACUUCAGCUUCCCAAGCUGAUCGCGUGGGUUCGAUUCCCAUCACCUG
rnacentral:tRNA from 2 species